CAUGAUUUGUCUGCUGCAUUGGUGAUUGGUGCCCCAUCAAUGGCACUUACAGGUUGCUUCUUGUAAAUGGAGCCAAUGGGACGUCAAGUCAAGAGUCACAAUAGGCAGAGCUAAUGGUUGGUGGAGUAAAGUGUCACAAUAGGUGGAGACAAUCAUAGGUGGAGCUAAGUGUCAAUUGGCUGAUGAAGAUGAGAGUCACAAUUUGUUGUUGUGUGUCUUCAAGUCAUUUCUGACUGAUGGAGACCCCAAGGCGGACUUAACAUGGGGUGGGGGUGGGGGUGGCAGAACUGGUUCCUUCCCUUUCCUUGAGGCUCAAGGUCACCUAGUGGGUUUCUAGUGGGGAUUUGAAUCCUGGUCUCCCAGUGUCUUGGUCCAACACUCAAACCACUACACCACACUGGCUCUCAAAGUGGUACAGUAAGCUGAGUCAAAGCUACAGAAAGUCCAGCUGAAUGUUGCCUGCCCAUCCUAUGCUCUCUUUGGCCAUUAACUGCCCAUGGUGGUGCAGUCAUUGUUGACAAGUUGACUUUGGCAUGAGGCAAAGAACCGGGACUGUCUAGAAUGAAGUCAACAAUAACAUUUCAAAACAAAUCCUCUCCAAGACUUCAGUCUGAAGAAGAGUGAUUUGAGGUCUGUCACCACUUGCAGGCGAUAAUCUUGUAGUGUAGCAGGAAGAAAGUGUUUCAGCUGCAGAUGAAAGAGGAACACCUGCUGUGAAGCAUUAUACAAACGCUGAAGAUGCUGGAAAGAUGCCAGGGCUCCUUGGAUAUACAGAAGGGAGCUGCAAGACACACAGCUGCACUCCCACUGGGUGGUUAAAGGAAACCCAUUGAAGAAUGCUGCCAAGUACAACUCCGGGAGAAACUUCCACUCAUGAGUCAUUUGAAUGAGAAAAUGAACAGACACUAACAAUUCCUUUAAAAAUCCCUUGAAAGUGAUCAUCUACAAAGAGAAAGUAGGGGAAGAAAACAGCUAUGAAGGAAGAGAGGAUGGAGAAAGCUUCAUCAGUUGUUUCAGGCAAAAGCAAACCACUGCAACUUCUUCUGUAUCAUGCACUGCUCCUCAUUAAUCAUCUCUGCCAUCUUAACCACUCUCUGAUGCAGCUGAGACAUAUGUGCCCUGGUUUCAUCUGUGAAAUAUUGGAAGAUGGGUGACAUGAUCGUAAGAAUUUCAGCUUUGUACCUAUGUGGCUCACUGCACUAUACGGAGAACACAGAGAAAAUUGGCAACUUAAUUCUCUGAAAGACCUUAGAAACUAGCACUGCAUGGAGAAGAUGAGGGCCAUACUAGUAGCCCUCAAUUGCAAUGCAUGCACAGGAGGCAAGGGAGAGAUGGUGAGUUGUGUAAUGAGCUGCAUAAUGUGGUAAAGUGGUGUACCAUUUGAAAGUGAACUGCAGAUUGAUUUUCUUAAAAGUUUUAUAGACAAAUAGAUCUGUUUAGACAUAUAUACUUUCUUAUAGUUUUCAUGGGGGUAAGCACGAACAAAUGCUUUCUUUGUGAACAAUUGAAAUGACAAAGAUUUAGUAUAUCCAUCUUGCUGUUGACCUCAAGUACUCAUGAUUCUGCACCCAGAACAAGAAGGAAUCAAUUAUCCUGCUACCACAUAGGAUCAUUUUAGAACUGCAAAGGAAAUGUGCAUGGUGAAAGGUUGAAAGAUUGUUGUUCUAUUGCUAACAUGUGUUUUCAUUCAUUUUUUAAUGAAAUGUCUGAGAUUAAAACAAGGGGAUGCGCACUAUAAGUAAUUCUGAGGUUUGCAGUGUUCUGUGAGUGUGUGGGGGGAGGACUGUUCAAUGGGGAAACAAAUGAAACAGUAUUGUACCAGGAUUUGAAAACAUAUUUGUUAAUUACAGUGAUCAUAUAGUCUUUCAAAUGCUAAUAGUCUUGACUGCGAUUUCAUUUUGCUUGGAACUGAUAGAACUUAUGAUUAAAGAAUGGUAUAGCUUUAUAGUGAUUUUACUGCCAUCUGUGUGCACCAGGCAAUAACUAUGUACAGAUGGUUGUGAUUCAGAGACAGGUUGCCACAUGCAAAAAAAAGUAUGUUUCAGUUAUUUCAGUAAGAUUUAUUGCAGCAGUCACAGUUAAAUGCUUGAACCUUAAUGAUAAUUGCUACUAAUCCUUCAAGAAAAAUGAUUAGAGUUUAAUAAACCGCAAGGAGCAGCUUUUGUCAUAAACUUCAGAAACAUAUCACAAAGGUAUAUUUUAUUUUUUCCUCUCUUGUCUAAUCAUUUAUUACAGCGUGCAUGGUGCUGCCGAGCUUCAUAAUGUACAAGUAAGGAAGAUUUUAUAACACUUAGAUCCUGAGACUGCCAGAAGUUCCCAUUACAUUUUACAUUUACAAAGGAAAGAGGAAAAAAGAAUAAAUUGAGCAGUUUAUAGCAGGGCCACUAAAAAUCUAGUAAAUAUUUUUAACAUUUCUAAAUAAAAUGUAAAGUCUGGUGAACAAAUCUUGAUAUUUCUUAUCAGAGAGGGGAGAAAGGGGUCAUUUCAGUGAACCUCCAUAUGGUCCUCAGAUGUUGAGUUCUACAAUUUCGUAUAUUGAGGAAGAGGUCAAGGAAUUUUAUGUUUUAUGGUGUCUCAGACAAGCCACAAUGUCAUUUUAUGAGCAGUCAUCCCACACACACUUAUUUCUUUUGGGUUGUACACACACAUGCUUAAAGAAUCUUCUUUUUCUUUUUAAAUACCACAUAUAUUGGUAAUUCAGGUAGAACAAUUGCUACUAUUUCUUGCAAACAUGUUUUUAAUGUAUCUUAAAAUACAGGAUGUGUAAUCUUACAUGUCUGUUCAGAAAUACAUUGCAAGGAGUUCAGUGGUUCCUGUUUGCAAGUAAC